rnacentral:lncRNA from 1 species
CAAGUAAGUACGCAAACAAUUUGGUUGCUAUUUGAGGGGUCAGUCGCUCAAUAAAACUACAUUUCUGCAAUCGCUGCCUAAUUAGGCUUAAUGUAUGUUCACCUAAUCUAAGGACCCUGUUUCAGCCUAAGGAAGCUACUGCGAGUAAAGAUCGAUGUUUUGUAUUCAACUAGUGAAACUGGCAAAACGACGACCUUUAUAGGAAACAUUUUAAGAAAUAAAUAAAUAAUUAAUUCCAGAGAGAAAUCGAGGUAAUCAGCCUCAAGUUAACGAAGAACCAGUCUCGUCAAUAUAAGUACUUCUCAGUCUCGGCUUAAUAAACUACACUACA